GGAAGAGAAGCGUCCCCGGUGGGGCGGCCGGACUUCAAAUCCGGUUGGGGCAGUGAGCCUGUCCCGGGUGGGUUCGACUCCCACUCUCUUCC
rnacentral:tRNA from 17 species